GACUUGUGUGCGCCGGACGCGGCGAUCUUCGGCCAAAAGGUCGUUUCGGUCAGCCCGUCCUGGCGCCGUAAAAUUUGCAACUGAGUCGCCGCUGGCCUUAAUUGAUCGGCGGCGUCUGCUCGGUUGCUCGUUUACUGUGAGAAAAUUGGAGUGUUCAAGGCAGGCGUGGAUUGCAACUGAACAUGUUAGCAUGGAAUAAUAAGAUAGGGCUCCGGCUCAUAUUUUGUUGGUUUCUAGAGCGUGGGAGUAAUGAUUGAUAGGGACAGUUGGGGGUGCUAGUAUUCAGCGGCCAGAGGUGAAAUUCAUGGAUUCGCUGAAGACUGACUUAUGCGAAAGCAUU
rnacentral:rRNA from 1 species